rnacentral:rRNA from 1 species
UACACAUGCAAGUCGAGCGGAAACGAUCCUAGCUUGCUAGGAGGCGUCGAGCGGCGGACGGGUGAGUAAUGCAUAGGAAUCUGCCCGGUAGUGGGGGAUAACUUGAGGAAACUCAAGCUAAUACCGCAUACGCCCUACGGGGGAAAGCAGGGGCUCUUCGGACCUUGCGCUAUCGGAUGAGCUUAUGUCGGAUUAGCUGGUUGGUGAGGUAACGGCUCACCAAGGCGACGAUCCGUAGCUGGUCUGAGAGGAUGAUCAGCCACAUCGGGACUGAGACACGGCCCGAACUCCUACGGGAGGCAGCAGUGGGGAAUAUUGGACAAUGGGGGCAACCCUGAUCCAGCCAUGCCGCGUGUGUGAAGAAGGCCCUCGGGUUGUAAAGCACUUUCAGCGAGGAAGAAUGCUUGUCGGUUAAUACCCGGCAAGGGAGACAUCACUCGCAGAAGAAGCACCGGCUAACUCCGUGCCAGCAGCCGCGGUAAUACGGAGGGUGCGAGCGUUAAUCGGAAUUACUGGGCGUAAAGCGUGCGUAGGCGGCUUGAUAAGCCGGUUGUGAAAGCCCCGGGCUCAACCUGGGAACGGCAUCCGGAACUGUUAGGCUAGAGUGCAGGAGAGGAAGGUAGAAUUCCCGGUGUAGCGGUGAAAUGCGUAGAGAUCGGGAGGAAUACCAGUGGCGAAGGCGGCCUUCUGGACUGACACUGACGCUGAGGUACGAAAGCGUGGGUAGCAAACAGGAUUAGAUACCCUGGUAGUCCACGCCGUAAACGAUGUCGACUAGCCGUUGGGGUCCUCGAGACCUUUGUGGCGCAGUUAACGCACUAAGUCGACCGCCUGGGGAGUACGGCCGCAAGGUUAAAACUCAAAUGAAUUGACGGGGGCCCGCACAAGCGGUGGAGCAUGUGGUUUAAUUCGAUGCAACGCGAAGAACCUUACCUACCCUUGACAUCGUGCGAACUUUCCAGAGAUGGAUUGGUGCCUUCGGGAGCGCACAGACAGGUGCUGCAUGGCUGUCGUCAGCUCGUGUUGUGAAAUGUUGGGUUAA